rnacentral:rRNA from 1 species
ACAGGGAUUGCCCUAGUAACGGCGAGUGAAGCGGCAACAGCUCAAAUUUGAAAUCUGGCGUCUUCGGCGUCCGAGUUGUAAUUUGCAGAGGGCGCUUUGGCAUUGGCAGCGGUCCAAGUUCCUUGGAACAGGACGUCACAGAGGGUGAGAAUCCCGUACGUGGUCGCUAGCCUUUACCGUGUAAAGCCCCUUCGACGAGUCGAGUUGUUUGGGAAUGCAGCUCUAAAUGGGAGGUAAAUUUCUUCUAAAGCUAAAUACUGGCCAGAGACCGAUAGCGCACAAGUAGAGUGAUCGAAAGAUGAAAAGCACUUUGGAAAGAGAGUUAAAAAGCACGUGAAAUUGUUGAAAGGGAAGCGCUUGCAGCCAGACUUGCCUGUAGUUGCUCAUCCGGGUUUCUACCCGGUGCACUCUUCUAUAGGCAGGCCAGCAUCAGUUUGGGCGGUUGGAUAAAGGUCUCUGUCAUGUACCUCUCUUCGGGGAGAACUUAUAGGGGAGACGACAUGCAACCAGCCUGGACUGAGGUCCGCGCAUCUGCUAGGAUGCUGGCGUAAUGGCUGUAAGCGGCCCGUCUUGAAACACGGACCAAGGAGUCUAACAUCUAUGCGAGUGUUUGGGUGUCAAGCCCGAGCGCGUAAUGAAAGUGAACGGAGGUGGGAACCUUUCGGGGUGCACCAUCGACCGAUCCUGAUGUCUUCGGAUGGAUUUGAGUAAGAGCAUAGCUGUUGGGACCCGAAAGAUGGUGAACUAUGCUUGAAUAGGGUGAAGCCAGAGGAAACUCUGGUGGAGGCUCGCAGCGGUUCUGACGUGCAAAUCGAUCGUCAAAUUUGGGCAUAGGGGCGAAAGACUAAUCGAACUAUCUAGUAGCUGGUUCCUGCC